UUGAACUGAAGAGUUUGAUCAUGGCUCAGAUUGAACGCUGGCGGCAGGCCUAACACAUGCAAGUCGAGCGGAUGAGAAGAGCUUGCUCUUCGAUUCAGCGGCGGACGGGUGAGUAACGCCUAGGAAUCUGCCUGGUAGUGGGGGACAACGUUUCGAAAGGAACGCUAAUACC
rnacentral:rRNA from 1 species